AACGAACGCUGGCGGCAGGCCUAACACAUGCAAGUCGAACGCCCCGCAAGGGGAGUGGCAGACGGGUGAGUAACGCGUGGGAACCUUCCCAGUGGUACGGAAUAACUGACCGAAAGGUUGGCUAAUACCGUAUACGCCCGAAAGGGGAAAGAUUUAUCGCCAUUGGAUGGGCCCGCGUCGGAUUAGCUAGUUGGUGAGGUAAUGGCUCACCAAGGCGACGAUCCGUAGCUGGUCUGAGAGGAUGAUCAGCCACACUGGGACUGAGACACGGCCCAGACUCCUACGGGAGGCAGCAGUGGGGAAUAUUGGACAAUGGGCGCAAGCCUGAUCCAGCCAUGCCGCGUGAGUGAUGAAGGUCUUCGGAUUGUAAAACUCCUUCGCCGGGGAAGAUAAUGACGGUACCCGGAGAAGAAGCUCCGGCUAACUUCGUGCCAGCCGCCGCCGUAA
rnacentral:rRNA from 1 species